rnacentral:rRNA from 1 species
CGCAGCUAACGCAUUAAGUUAUCCGCCCGGGGAGUACGGUCGCAAGAUUAAAACUCAAAGGAAUUGACGGGGGCCUGCACAAGCGGUGGAGCAUGUGGUUUAAUUCGAAGCAACGCGCAGAACCUUACCAGCCUUUGACAUCCUAGGACGACUUCUGGAGACAGAUUUCUUCCCUUCGGGGACCUAGUGACAGGUGCUGCGUGGCUGUCGUCAGCUCGUGUCGUGAGAUGUUGGGUUAAGUCCCGCAACGAGCGCAACCCUCGUCCUUAGUUGCCAUCAUUAAGUUGGGCACUUUAAGGAAACUGCCGGUGAUAAGCCGGAGGAAGGUGGGGAUGACAUCAAGUCCUCAUGGCCCUUACAGGCUGGGCUACACACGUGCUACAAUGGCAUCUACAGUGGGCAGCUAUUCCGCAAGGAUGCGCUAAUCUCCAAAAGAUGUCUCAGUUCGGAUUGUCCUCUGCAACUCGAGGGCAUGAAGGCGGAAUCGCUAGUAAUCGCGGAUCAGCAUGCCGCGGUGAAUACGUUCCCAGGCCUUGUACACACCGCCCGUCACACCAUGGGAGUUGGAUUCACCCGAAGGCAGUGCGCUAACCGCAAGGAGGCAGCUGACCACGGUGGGUUCAGCGACUGGGGUGAAGUCGUAACAAGGUAGC